GAGGUGGCCUAGUGGUUAGAGCGUCCGCCUCAGAUGCAGGAGGUUAUGGGUUCGAUCCCCAGCCGAGUCA